CCCAUAUAUUAUAAAGAUUCCCAUAAAUUAUUAAGUAAAUGCAGCGUUUGCAGUUAAGUAUGAACCCAGAUAAUUAUCCUGUGGUAAGAUCAUAUUUCAUGAACAUGAGAACAGAUAAAUUGCUGAUAAUGCUGAUUACUCAGUAGCAUGUAAGAAAAUAUGGCCAUCACGAAAACAGCCAAUCUUUUUAUUGGUCUUUAUUGAUGCGCAUCCGAGACAACGAAAAUGCCGAUGAACUAGAAAAGUUCAGGAUCAUCGGAAUCGUAUCUUUAUCCAAAGCCAACACUGGGAAUACCCAAAUUUAUGAUACGUAGUUGUGACGUAGUGCAGUAUAACUCUGGAUCAGUAUAAAACCAUCCACUAGAGAAUCUGA